rnacentral:lncRNA from 1 species
GGGAGCCUCAGCUGGAGGAGGGGGAGGCAAAGCAGUUCCUUGGAAUCCGUGUUUCCUGCUCCCUCCACUGGUCUGCACCUGAUCAGACAUGGGGACUGCCGAGGUGCCUGUCACACUCGUCCGGAGCCUCAAUCAGCACUCCAGGUCUUCUCUAUCCCUUGGCCAUCAUGGUGGCCUAAGUGGACUCCCUUUUAGAGUGGCAUCUUCCUCUUCUCUUCAAAGCCCACUUCAAGAGUCCCCUUCUGGAGGCAGAGCAAACACUUUCCUCUGUGCCCUGAGAGCACUUUGAGUCAUCACCCCCUACGCUGCCUGCUGGUGUCACACUGGAGGCCCUGCGCUCUCUGACAGGUGGCCUGUUUCCUAGGCCACCCUGAAACCCUGCCUCCAGCUCACUGCAGGCUACAGAGCAAGUUUUAUAAGACAUUUGCUGAACAAGUCACUUUUUUUUAUUUUGCAUAAACUGCAAAUAUAAUUUUAAUUGGAUUACCAACUUAUUCAAACACUAUUCAACUCUAAUUAAACAAAGAGGCCUUUAUUCACCACGGAUCCCAGAGAUGUUGGCUACAGGCGGUGAGAAAACUGGAGGCUCUUCAGAGCUCCACGUACUACAGGAGAGGGCUAUAUUUGGGAGCCAAUUAAUUUCACAAUGUCGAAAACUAAUGCAUUUAAGAUUCUGCUGUUCGCAUCCAUUUUUCCCCAUUAAAACAUUUUAACUGCG